CCUACGGGAGGCUGCAGUGGGGGAUAUUGCACAAUGGGGGAAACCCUGAUGCAGCGACGCCGCGUGAGGGAAGAAGGAUUUCGGUAUGUAAAGCUCUGUCAGCAGGGAAGAAAAUCACAGUAUCUGACCGAGAAGCCCCGGCUAACUACCUGCCAGCAGACGCGGGAAUACGUGGGGGGCAAACGUUAUCCGGGUUUUCUGGGUGUAAAAGGAGCCUAGACGGUUAUGCAAGGCUGGAGGGAAAGCGCGGGGGCCAACCCCGGGACUGCUUUGGAAACUGUGUAACUGGAGUACAGGAGGGGCAGGCGGAAUUCCUGGUGUAGCGGUGAAAUGCGUAGAUAUCAGGAGGAACACCGGCGGCGAAGGCGGCCUUCUGGACUGAAACUGACGUUGAGGCACGAAAGCGUGGGGAGCAAACAGGAUUAGAUACCCUGGUAGUC
rnacentral:rRNA from 1 species